CAGCUUUACCCCUAUAUUAUAGUUUCUUUUUUUAACCAACAUCACUGAAAGCACAAAUCAUGGAGAAGCGUUUUAGAGAUUGAUGUCGUGGAGAAACAGUUACACCCUUUACAUGCCAUGGCCCGGCCACUGUGAUGUCUAAAAUUCAUCAAUGAAUUGUGAUGUCACAAGUCUUCAUGCUUCCAGCUGCUUCCAGGCUGCAACAGGCCAUUACCUCCCGGAACAGCUAGAAGACCAGACUUGUCGUGCUCAACAAUGUCAGGAAUAAUGAACAUAAUGAUCAGAUGUGCCAGGAGAUUAGAUGAUGGCCUGACCAUCAUUGAAAAUAACAUUCUUAGAGUUGUGGACGUCUAUGAGCUGGCAAGAAAAGCGCGGAGGCCAAGGCAGAGGGCAUCUAAAAAGAACACGAUGUCCUGGGAUUCGAAUGUCCCUUAUGGAAAACUCCGAUAGACAUCUAGGAGUAUGGGUGUGACCUCUGCGCUGGUGUGGGUAUUUGUAUAACAUCAAUGUAAGCUGCUGCCUAAUCCAUGUAGAGUCAAUGGGGGGUAAUGGUGAUGUCAGCUGUGAUCACGCAGUAAUCCUCUUGUCUCUAGGAGAGUGUGGCAGAC